AACGUAGGAGACAAACGUUAUCCGGAGUUACUGGGCGUAAAGGGAGUCUAGGCGGUCAGAUAAGUGGAAUGUGAAAUCCCUCGGCUUACCCGAGGACCUGCAUCCCAAACUGUCUGGCUUGAGUAUGGGAGAGGAUGAGGGAAUUCCUGGUGUAGCGGUGAAAUGCGCAGAUAUCAGGAGGAACACCGGUGGCGAAGGCGGUUCUCUGGGCAUUACCUGACGCUGAGGAGCGAAAGUGUGGGGAGCGAACAGG
rnacentral:rRNA from 1 species